rnacentral:rRNA from 1 species
AGAGUUUGAUCCUGGCUCAGGAUGAACGCUGGCGGUGUGGAUAAGGCAUGCAAGUCAAGGGGGCUCGCAAGAGCAACCGGCAGACGAAGUAGUAAUAGAUAGGUACGUCCCUUCGAGUCGGGCAUAGCUUGUCGAAAGUUAAGGUAAUUCCCGAUAGUCUCUACGGAGUAAAGAUUUUCGCUCGAAGAACGGCCUGUCCGGUAUCAGCUAGUUGGUGAGGUAAUGGCUCACCAAGGCUAUGACGCCUAGGGGACCUGAGAGGGUGACCCCCACUGAUGGAACUGAGAUACGGUCCAUACACCUACGGGUGGCUGCAGUCGAGAAUCUUCCACAAUGGGCGAAAGCCUGAUGGAGCGACACCGCGUGCAGGAUGAAGUCCUUCGGGAUGUAAACUGCUUUUAUGGGGGAGGAAAUUAUUGACGUUACCCCAAGAAUAAGAGGUUGCUAAACUCGUGCCAGCAGCAGCGGUGAUACGAGUGCCUCAAGCGUUAUCCGGAAUUAUUGGGCGUAAAGGGUGCGUAGGUGGUUAUGUUAGUCUUUUGUUAAAUUACUCGGCUUAACCGAGGACAUGCAGAGGAAACGGCAUAACUUGAGGAUGCGAGAGGUAUAUGGAACUCUAGGUGUAGCGGUGAAAUGCGUUGAUAUCUAGGGGAACACCAAAUGCGAAGGCAAUAUACUGGAGCAUUCCUGACACUGAGGCACGAAAGCGUGGGUAGCGAAUGGGAUUAGAUACCCCAGUAGUCCACGCCCUAAACGAUGAUCACUAGCUUUUUCGAGUAUCGACCCUCGAAGAGGCGUAGCUAACGCGUUAAGUGAUCCGCCUGGGUAGUACGGCCGCAAGGCUAAAACUCAAAGGAAUAGACGGGGACUUGCACAAGCGGAGGAACAUGUGGUUUAAUUCGAUGGUAAACGAAAAACCUUACCAGGGUUAGAAAUCUAGUUGAAGACGAGCAGAAACGUUCGUCGCCGCAAGGCAAUUAGACAGGUGCUGCAUGGUCGUCGUCAGUUCGUGGCUUGAGUUGUUCCCUUAAGUGGGGUAACGAACGCAACCCUCGUUGUCUGUUACAAGUGUCAGACGAGACUGCCCCUUUUCCAGGGGAGGAAGGUGGGGAUGACGCCAGAUCAGCAUGGCCCUCUGAUACCCUGGGCCACACACGUGUUACAAUGCCGUUUACAACGGGACGCGACGGGGAAACCCUGAGCAAAUCCUUAGAAAAAACGGCCAAGUUCGGAUUGAGGUCUGAAACUCGACCUCAUGAAGCUGGAUUCGCUAGUAAUCACAGGUCAGCCAUACUGUGGUGAAUACGUUCUCAAGUCUUGUACUCACCGCCCGUCAGCCCAAGGGAGCUGGGAAUACCCGAAGUCUGCGCUUGUCGCGGCCUAAGGUAAGCUCAGUGACAGGGGGUAAGUCGUAACAAGGUAACCGUA